CUGGAAGAUGGUCAGUAUAUAGCUGUGAAGAGGCUCUCUGAGAACUCAAAACAAGGCUUUGAGGAGUUGAACAAUGAAGUUAAGCUAAUUGCUAGACUUCAGCAUACUAACCUUGUCAGGCUUUUAGGUUGGUGUAUCCAUGAAAAUGAGAAAAUACUCAUCUAUGAAUAUAUGCCCAACAAAAGUUUGGAUAAAUACUUAUUCGAUUCAAACCUUUCAGCACAAAUAGACUGGCAUAAGAGAUUCUGUAUAAUACAAGGCAUUGCUCAAGGACUUGUUUACCUUCAUCGCUAUUCAAGACUACGCAUCAUUCAUAGAGAUUU